GAAUGCAUUUGUACUUGGCAAGUAUUUCACUGUAAAUACACUCACACAGAGUUUACAGGCACUAGGAAAAUGCCUCAUUAGAGCUAAUGAAGAUGCUUUGACUUAGAAGAGAUACUACGGUGGGUUAUUGGUUCACACCACCUGGAAUGGAGACUUCUACGCACGAUCGCAAGAGGCUGCAGAGGAUUGUAGACUCCACCAGCUUAAUCAUAAGCACAGCCCUCCACACCACGGAGGACAUCUUUAAGAGGAGGUGCCUCGGAAUCAAAUCAGCUUUGUGGAGUCGAACGCUUCGGUUAAUUUUUCUGUUACGCGUUGAAAUGGUUGGCCUGGAGUUUUGUAGUGGGACGGCGGGGAGGACACGGACUUGCAGAGAAAAGAUUUCAAAAUAAUGAAAACACCUUAAGACUUGCGUCAUUCAGUUCAAACUCUCCUGAAGUGAUUUCGUCUCUGAUUAAAGGUUUUCACUGAGCCUGUUCCUCAAGGAGCAGACUAUUACACUCAUUAGCAAGUGCUGGCUGGGGUUGCUGGGAGAUGCACCCUGCAGUCCCAGCAGGAUCACUACAUGCAGGCUUCCCUCUCCUCCAAGCAAAUGUGCACACGUGUCACUUUAGUUCAACCAGCUGGAAGCCAACAUGUGUUGAGAAGAGCUGGCACGGAAAGGGAGUAGAUGUCUGCAUCACUAGAAUAAAUCAUGGGCAGGCUUGAAGGGACUGGAUGCCCACCAUCCAGACUAUGCUCUCUUCUCGCUUCUGCCAUCGGGAAAGAAAUACAGAAGCCUUAGGUCCCACUUCACCAGCUUCAAACAAUUACUACACCAACCACCAGGCUCCUGAACCAGCGUGGAAAACUUCACUCACCUCAACAAUGAACUGAAUGCACAACCUGUGGACUCCACAACUCAUGUUCUCAGAUUUAUUUAUGUACUCUUUUAUUUAUCAUUAAUAUCAUUGUAUUUACAUAGUCUGCCUUCCUUAGCACAUUGGUUGUUUCAGUAUUGGGUAGUCUGUAUUUUAUUGUACUUCUUUAUUCUACUGUGAAUGCCCAUUAGAAAAUGAAUCUCAGGGUUGAUUAUUGUGGCAUCCAUGUAUUCUGAUAAUAAAUUUUACUUUGAACUUUGAGCUUUUUACUCCUGCUGUCAGUCAGCUCCAUUAUGGGCACCAGCCUUCCCAUCAUCCAGGACGUCUUCAAAUUGGGAUGCCUCAAAAAGGCAGCAUCCAUCAUUAAGGUGCUCCACCAGCCUGGACAUGACCACUUCUUGUUGCUACCAUCAGGGAGGAGGUACAGAAGCCUGAAAGCAAACACUCAGUGUUUCAGGAACUUCUUCUUCCCCUCUGCCAUCUGAUUUCUGAAUGAACAUUGAACCCAUGAUCACUACUUCACUACUUUUUCUCCUCUUUUUGCCCAACAAAGUUAAUUUAAUUUUUUAUAUAUGUUUUUUAUUAAUAAUUAUAGUUUCUUUAUUAUGUAUUGCAAUGUACUGUUGCUGCAUAGCAACAAAUUUCACGACAUAUAUCGGUGAUAUUAAACCUGAACCGCUCAGAAAUCUAAUAACCACUCUGGACUUUCUCUCUUCUCAUCAAAAGGCACAAAAACUCUGAGAGCACACGCCGCUAGGUUCAGGGGCGAAUUCUAUCUUGUUUUUAUAAAUUCAAGUUCAUUGUCAUUCAAUUGUACACAUAUAUACAGCUAAACAAAACAAUGUUCCUCUAGGACUAAGGUGCAAAAUACAGUAUAUAUAUCGCAUACAGUACAUAAAAUAAUAUUAACAGACAAUAAAAUAUUCUGUAGAUGUAAGAUUGAUAUUAAGUGUAUGUAAGACACAUAGUUAAAUAUUGGUGGUGGCAUCUGUCGGUCUCAAGAGACCAUGGAUCUGCACCUAGAGCUGUAAAUAUACAACAGGGUAAUGCUACUGGGUGUACUGGGUGUUAACGGGGUGCUCAGAAGUCUCACAGCCUGGGGGAUGAAUCUAUACCCGGUUCUCAUGCUUAUACUCUGGUACCUUCUGCCUGACAGUAGAAGGCAAGGAGACUGCGGGACGGAUGUGAGGGGUCUUUGACACUACUGAGGGCUCUGUGAGUGCAGCUCUUCUAGUAUAUGUCCUGCUGGCGUGUGUGUGUGUGUGUGGGGGGGGGGGGGGAUAGUGGGUGGAGAAUCGCAGAUGAUUCUUUCAGCAGUCAUCACAAUUCAUUGCAGGAUCUUGUGGUCAACUGCUUUUUCCAUACCACAUGGUGAUACAGUUGGUCAGGACACUCUCAAAGGUGCUCCGGUGGAAUGUAGUUAGAAUUGGGGCAGGGAUCCUUGCUAGCUUCAGUCUCCUCAGGAAGUGAAGGCACUUCUUGCCCAAAGAGGUGAUCUUCAGGGACCUAGAGAGAUCAUCCGUGAUAUGCACUCCAAGAAACUUGGUGCUCCUGACUCUCCCCACGGAGGAGCUAUUGAUGUGCAAAUAGGGAGUGAUCAGCCUGCAGCUUUUAGAAGUCUAGACCCAUCUCUACAGUCUUGUCUCUUUGAGACCAUUAGACAGACCUCUCUUAUCUACAGAGAUGAACUCUGGAUCUCCCAGUCCACCUUGGCAUUGCCUUUGCUUUAUCUGCCUACCUGCACGACACUUUCUCUGUAACUGCAGCACUGCAUUCUGCAUUCAGAUUUCCUUUUGCUACUUCAUUGUAGUUAAUUAUUUGAACUAAGUAAUGAAUCAAUCUGUAUGAACAGUAUUGGUACGUGUGACAGCAAUAAACCAUCAACGAAUUUGUGUAUUCUUGAACCCCCUGUAGUACUCCUCACAUAGGGGAAGAUAUUUCAAGAUGUCAUUUACUUGGAUUUUCAGAAGGCAUUUGAUAAGGUGCCACACAUGAGGCUGCUUAACAUGAUAAAAUCUUAUGGUGUUACAGGAAAGAUUCUAACAUGGAUAGAGGAAUGGCUGUCAGGCAAGGGACAGCGAGUGGGAAUAAAAUGGGCCUUUCUGGUUGGCUGCCAGUGACCAGUGGUGCUCCUUAGGAAUUUAGUAUUAAGAGUGCUACUUAUCACUUUGUUUGGCAAUGAUUUAGAUAGUGAUAUUAAUGGCUUUGUGGCAAAGUUUGUGGAUGAUGCAAAGAUAGGUGGAGGGGUAGGUAGUGCUGAGGAAGCAAUGCGAUUGCAGCAGGAUGUAGACAAAUUGAAAGAAUGGGCAAAAAAGUGGCAGAUGGAAUAUAGUGUAGGGAAAUGUACGAUAAUGCAUUUUGGUAAAUGGAACAAUAGUGUGGACUAUUAUCAAAAUGGGGAGGAGGUUCAAACAUCAGAGGUACAGAGGGAUUUAGGUGUCCUUGUGCAAGACUUCCAGAAGGUUAAUUUUCAGGUUGAGGCUGUGGUAAAGAAGGCAAGUGUAAUGUUGGCAUUUAUUUCAAGUGGAAUAGAAUAUAAGGCCAUUAGAUCAUACGACAUAGGAGCAGAAGUAGGCUAUUCGGCCUAUCGAGUCUUCUCCGCCAUUCAGUCCUGGGCUGAUCCAAUUCUUCCAGUCAUCCCCACUCCCCUGCCUUCUCCCCAUACCCUUUGAUGCCCUGGCUAAUCAAGAACUUAUUUACCUCUGCCUUAAAUGCACCCAGUGACUUGGUCUCCACAGACGCUCGUGGCAUCAAAUUCCACAGACUUACCACCCUCUGACUAAAGUAAUUUCUCCGCAUCUCUUUUCUAAGCAGACAUCCUUCAAUCCUGUAGUAGUGCCCUAAAAAGCAAGGAGAUAAUGCUUUAUAAGACACUAGUCAGGCCAUUCUUAGAGUAUUGUCAAAAGUUCUGGACCCCAUAUCUCAGAAAGGAUGUGUUGUUAUUGGAGAGAGUGCAGAGGAUGUUCACGAGGAUGAUUCCAUGAAUGAAGAGGUUAACAUAUGAGGAGAGUUUAGCAGUUUUGGGCCUGUAAUCACUGGAAUUUAGAAGAAUGCGGAGGGAUCUCAUUGAAACUGACUGAAUAUUGAAAAGACUAGAUGGGGGGAUUUGGAGAGGAUGUUUCCUAUGGUGGGGUUAUCCAGAACUAGAGGGAACAGCCUCAAGUUUGAGGGGCAGCCUCUUGGACAGAGGUAAAGAGGAAUUUUUUAGCCCGAGAGUAGAGAAUCUGUGGAUUGCUCUGCCACAGACUGCGGUGGAGGCCAAGUCCAUGGGUAUGUUUAGGGUUCAAGUUGAUAGUUCCUGAUCAGUCUGGGCAUCAAAGGAUGUGACAAAAAGACAGGUGUAGGGGGUUGAGUGGGAUCCAAGAGCAGCCAAGAUGGAAUGGUGGAGCAGACUGGAUGGGCUGAAUGGCCUAAUUCUGCUCCUAUUGUGGUCUUAUGGCAUAUGGUCUAAGAUUUAGAGCUAGCAACAAUGAAAUUAAUGGUAACAUAUUUUCAAAAAUAUUCCUAUGGGUCUGUGCAUUCUCUCUAACACAAUCAUUCCAUUACUAUAGUAUGGUGACCUGAACUACCCACAAUACUCCAGGAACCGCCUAAUCAAACGCAUACUGGAAAUCCAAAACAACACAAAUACAAAAUGCUGGAGGAACUCAGCAGGUCAGGGAGCGUCUAUGGAGACGAUUAAACGGUCAAUGGUAGUGUUGUGGUUAGCAUAACGCUAUUACAAGUGCAGUUAGCCGGGUUCAUUUCUGGUUUUGUUUGUCAGGAGUUUGCAAGUUCUUUCCGUUUCCAAGCUGGUUUCCUCUGGGUGCUCUACUUUCCUCCUGCAUUCCUAAACUUUACGAGUUAGUAGGCCAAUUGGUCACAUGGGUGUAAUUUGGUGCUGCGGGCGCAUUGGUCCAGAAAGGUCUAUUACUAUGCUGUAUCUCAAAGAAAAUUGGGCCAAGAACCUUCGUACAUUCUAACAUGAUGUCCCUGCUCUUACUUUUGAUGCAUUUAAAUUGUUGUUCCUCCCAAACCACAGUCAAUACCUAACAUUACCAACCAUUGGCUUUACCUCUCUUUCUUUCCAGUCCUAUUAAGUUUCCUGUAUUGGGGGAGUCUUUAGCCGGAGGAUGGAAAAUCUGUGUAAUUCAUUGCCACAGAUGGGUGUGGAGGCCAAGUCAUUUGGUAUAUUUUAAGCGGAGGUUGAUAAGUUCGUGCGGUUAGCAAGUCUGUCAAAGGUUAUGGGGAGAAGGCAAGAGAAUGGGGUUGAGAAGACUCAAUAGUGGAAUGGUGGAGAAAACUCGAUCAGCCAAAUGGUCUAAUUCUGUUCCUAUGAAUGAUGGUCUUAUGGUCCUAUGUCAGUUGAACGUGGACAGUUAGUGAUGAAGACAGGGUGAGGGGAGUUUUGCAGAUUUAAUCAGAAACCUCCCUCACAAUCGACACAGGUGCACCUCACAGAUUAAAAAGUUGAUGAAGGGCCAAAAACAUCAACUGUUUAUUCCCCUCCAUAGAUGCUGCCUGAGAUGCUGAGUUUCUCCAGCUUGUUGCAUGUGUUGCUCAAGAUUUCCAGCCUCUACAGAAAGUCUCAUAUGGGGCUUUAGGCUUCCGUAGCUCCUGCCCAAUGGUAGCUGCGAGAGGAUAGCAUGGGUCAGCGGGCGAGGAGCUCUGAUGAUGGAUCUCGUCUUCUUGAGGCAGCACCUCCUGUAGAUAAGACCGACGGAGGGGAGGGAUGCGAUGGGUUGAGUCCGCAACUUUCUGUAGCUUCUUUCAUUCUUGCAUUCAGAUUGCUGCUCCUGCAACAGCAAGUGAAAGAUGCCACCUGCAGUGAUGGACCUCCAAGUUGGUUCAUUUGGUUUUGGAAUUCAGAUACACAAGUCUGUGAAAACUUUAGAGAGGGUGCAGAGGAGAUUUACCAGGACACUGCCUGGAUUAGAGAGCAUGUUUUAUGUGGAUAGCUUGAGGGAGCUAGGUUUUUUUCCCUCUGGAAUGAAGGAGGAUGAGAGGUGACUUGAUAGAAGUGUACAUGAUAAAAAGAGGCAUAGAUCGAGUGCAUAGACAGAGACUUUUUUUCCCAGGAUGUUAAUGGCCAAUAUAAGAGUGCAUAAUUUAAGGUGUUUGGAAGAACAUAUAGGGGAGGAUGUUAGAGGUAAGUUUUGUUACACAGAGUGAUGGGGGGGGGGGGUGGCAGGGAUGGCAGUAGAGGCAUAUACAUUAGAGGAAUUUAAGAGACUACUAGAUAGGCACAUGGGUUAUAAAAUAUAGAGAUAUGUAGGAGGUAAGGAUUAGAUUGAUCUUAAAGAAGGUUAAAAGUUAGUAUAAUAUUUUGUGCCAAAAGGCCUACACUGUUCUGUAGCGUUCUACAGUGUGUUCUGUGUUCCUUGAAAGGGAAACUUAUCCUGUCAUUGAUAGGAUAGAUCCUGAAUGAAGGGCCUUAAAAUGAGAGAGAAUAGGACAGCACAUAACAUGAUCGCUCAGCCCAUCAUUUCUAUACCAAACAUGAUCCCAAAUUAAACUAAUGCCAUCUGCCUUCUUCCUCUGUUUCCUGGAUUUUCAUGUCUAAAAUCCUCUUAAAUAUCUCUGUUGUAUUGACACCCCAAAAAUGUAAAAUUCUUGCUCCCAUAUCUCUUUCAAGUUUUCCUUCUCUCAUCUAAAUACUCUGCCCCCUGGUAUUUGACAUUGUACUCUAUGGCAAAGACAAUGACUGUCUUCCAAGUCUAUGUCUCUCAAGUCAAAAUAUUUCUGUUAAAGUUGAGUUGUCCAGUGUACAUGGAGAAUUGCUGACCAGUGAGAGGCAGAUACAGUUUAAUACAGGACUUCUCUAUGUCAGGACUGAGACAUUUCCCAUCCCCUGUAGGCUGAGGGGAUGCUUUAACAUCAAAGAUGCCUUCUCUUGGACAAAAAAAAUCUUAGUUGUCCUUGAAAGUGAAUUGAAAGAAACUAGCGGUUUAAUGUGCCUAUUGGAAGCACUUAAUCUGAAGUGUUUUGCUUUGGUGUUGCAGUGACCAAAAGUGCAGAUGUUUAGAUUAAGUUCCGUUUAUCACAGAAGUGAAAGCCAAGAAACAUUAUUAAAGUCUACAAAGCUUUACAACCAAUUUCAAUUCAAUAUGCCAAGUAGAAAGCAGAGUUAAAUGCUCAAUCAAUAGCUCAUCACAGCAGGCAGUUAGCUGAAUCUGGUCAGAGUUUUUGUUUGGGAAGGCUUAGAGACAUAGAAUACUCCAGCACUGAAACUGGCCCUUUGGCCCAUCUAAUCCAUGAGACCUGCUGUUCUGCCUAGUCCCAUUUACCUGUACCUGGACCAUAGCCCUCCAUACCCCUCCCAUCCAUGUACCUAUCCAAAUUUCUCUCAGAUGUUACAAUUGAACGUGAAUCCACUACUUCUGCCGGCAGCUCAUUUCACACUCUUACCACCCUCCGGGCGAAGAUGUUUCUCCUCAUGUUCCCCUUAAAUAUUUCACCCCUCACGCAUAACAUAAAACGUAAGAUUUCCAGUCUCAACCAACCAGAGGGGAGAAAGCCUGCAUGCGUUUACCCUGUCUAUAUCCCUCAUAAUUCUGUAUACCUUUAUCAAAUCUCCCCUCAUUCUCCUAUGCUUCAUGGUUGACGUCCUCACAUAUUCAACAUUUCCCUAUAACACAGCUCCUCAAGUCCCAACAACAUCCUUGUAAAUUUUCUCUGCACUUUUUUAAGCUUGUUGAUUUCUUUUCUCCAAAUUUUGUCUAGUGCGCCAUUCUGCUUGACCAGCUAUAAAAUGGAUAGGGUGCAGAAAAGAUUCAUACAUGAUAUUACUGGGACUGAAGGCUUUGAUGUACGCAUGAGGAAAGAAUUUGUAGGCUGAGUUUGUUUUACUUGCAGUGAUGAAAACAAAGGAAUAACUAACUUAAAGAGUUUAUAAAAUCAUGAUAGAGAUAAGGCCGAUAGUUCAAAUCAAACUAGAUUCAAGAUUAUUUAAUGUCAUUUCCAGUACACAAGCGCAAAGGGUGUGUGUGUUCGUGUGUGUGUGUGUGUGUGUGUGUGUGUGUGUGUGUGUGUGUGUGUGUGUUUAUGUGUGCGUGUGUGUGUGAAUGUGUGCGUGAGUGUGUGUGAGUGUGUGUCCGUGUGUGUGCGUGUGUUUGUGUGUGAUUGUGUGUGUGAAUGUGUGUGUGUAUGUGUGAUUGUGUGUGUAUGCGUGUGAUUGUGUGUGAGUAUGCGUGUGUGUGUGUGUGUGUGUGUGCGUGCGUGUGUGUGUGUGUGUGUGUGUGUGUGUGAAUGUGUGCGUGAGUGUGUGUGUGUCCGUGUGUGUGUGUGUGUGUGUGUGUGUGUGUGUGUGUGUGUGUGUGCGUGUGUGUGUGUGUGUGUGUGUGUGUGUGUGUGUGUGUGUGUGUGUGUGUGUGCGUGAGUGUGUGUGUGUCCG